rnacentral:lncRNA from 1 species
CCAGAGUGCAGGAGGUGGAAAGGAACCUGCCGUGAAUUGGGGGGAAGGAGCCGGCGUGAAAACCUGGCGGGCUUCCCCCCAAAUUAUUUCUAUUUUUGUAUUUUCCAUCCAGCCGUCUCCCCUCUUCUCUGUCCUCGGUUUCCCGCCUUCCGGGACGCACUUCCCGCCUCUGUUCAGAGUUAUUGGUCUCCCCGAAGACAAUCUCCCCACCCCGAACCAGGCCCCGGGAGUCUGGACCGCAACCUGCGCGCCCUCAGGCCGGGACGAAAUGGAGGUGUCUUGCAUAUUUUAUGCAAAAGAUGAUGGCUAAUGAGGUUGCCACAGCCCCGCCAGGGAAGGAAAAGGCCAACGCAGGGAAGGAAGGUGAGGGUGAGAUUGACAAGUCACCGUAGGGUGCGGAGAGGCAUUUCCAGCUUAGCUUUCCGACUGGCACCGAGUUCCACUCGAUCUGGGAAAUACUUGAAUCUCUAGGUAUAUAUUAUCCUAAACAUUUCCUUAGACACGUUUCUAAGUUCGAACUCUGUUCUCCUCUACCCUUUCCUUUUCCUCGGUAAAAUGGUUCUUGUCAUAUUUUUCACGCAUGUCUAUUGCACCUUCUCUGCAAAGCCACCGCUGGGUUACUGAGACCCGCUCUGCUAACCCCGGCUACAGGAGGGGUUUCCUUGAACUUGAAGAAAGGUACAUCAAAACCCACCAGUGUUAACUGCCACGUCAAUUUUGAUGCUAAUAAUGUGCAGAUUAUGACGAAAAUUGCCAAUCAUGCUCUCUGAUGGACCUCCUUUGAAUGUGGAAUUGGUGAAAAGUUCCCUGCACGGAGACCUGCUGUCAAGUACUAACAACCCGCUAAGGGAAGUCAUUAGGAGAGACGGAUAAGAGACUCGGUACAUAAAACAUUGUUCUUGGUGCAUAGAAUGUAUGUUAUUUAAUGUUAUCUCUGUUACCUGAAGUGAUUUCGCAGAAGAAAGCCACGUUCUUAUCAUCUCAAUUGCCAAUUUUCAUUUUGGUAACUUGGACGCCCUGGGUAGACUUUUCUCUGUUAAGUUGAUAUUCCACCAAUGUGAACAGCCUCAUUAAAUCAAGCCCAGAUAUUUCCAUAAUGCUCCCUGCAGAGCCACUUCGCUCCUCACAUAAUGAGAUUUUCUGAAGAGUUGAAGCCCUAAAAUAACUUGCUAGUGCAUGUUUAGGCCCAGCGAAGUGGAUAUGUGUGUGUAUUAAAAUGCAGGUAUGCUACCUGCGUGUGUCUGUGUAUAUAUAUAUAUGUAUAUGUACAUAUAUGCAUAUAUAUAUUGGUGCUCUUAAAAACAUAUGUAAGAAAUACACACAUAUCCAUGUAUCUACAUUGGCAC